rnacentral:rRNA from 1 species
UGGGGAAUAUUGCACAAUGGAGGGAACUCUGAUGCAGCGACGCCGCGUGAACGAAGAAGGCUUUCGAGUCGUAAAGUUCUUUUAUAUGGGAAGAUAAUGACGGUACCAUAAGAAAAAGCCCCGGCUAACUACGUGCCAGCAGCCGCGGUAAUACGUAGGGGGCUAGCGUUGUCCGGAAUCACUGGGCGUAAAGGGUUCGCAGGCGGAAAUGCAAGUCAGGUGUAAAAGGCAGUAGCUUAACUACUGUAAGCAUUUGAAACUGCAUAUCUUGAGAAGAGUAGAGGUAAGUGGAAUUUUUAGUGUAGCGGUGAAAUGCGUCGAUAUUAAAAAGAAUACCGGUGGCGAAGGCGACUUACUGGGCUCAUUCUGACGCUGAGGAACGAAAGCGUGGGUAGCAAACAGG